CUUUAUGCUUCUCUUUAUGCUUUUACUUGGCUUUGCUGAGGGUGUCUCCAAGAUGCCAUUUACAGGUCCCUUGGGAAGAUGGCAAAUGGAAAGGGCAGAAGAAGAUCUGGCAACGUCCCCAGCCAAAUGGAAAAGGACAGCUUCAUGGUCCAAGAGAGGCCCAAUGAAGAUGUUAAACAAAACUGCGAUACUUCCUCUUCUUUGUUUGAGAAGCAUAUGUGGGUUGCAUUCUUACUUGUAACUAUAACAGUGAGAUCUACAGUAAUGAUUAAAAAAGCCUUUGAAUGAAUUCCAGUCUCUCCUCCCACUAGAAGCGGGGAGUGAAGUCAUAUCCAGCUGUCACUGAGAAUGAGAAAUUCACCCAGACACCUUUACCAGCAUUAGUCUUAUAUAAAAGUCAGUUCUUAACUAAUAUUGAUGUACAGUCUGUAAGGCGAGGAUCAGGGCUGUCUACUUCUACUUCCAUGUGUGACCCAUGCUCUAUCGCUGACCUUAUCCUUUACCAGCUGCCUCUCUAGGUACAUGGCAUUUAUCCACCAUGAUCUCUGCUGCAUUUUGUCCCUCUUGUUCGCAGAAAUGAUUGCAGCUGGAAUUUGAGUGGAAUUUCCUGCUUUUCCUGGUUUCCGUGUUCUUUCUUGCCAUAGGGUCAGGACAGGAAGUGGGAUUCGGGAGAUUAUUUUGAAUGCAGUGUGAGAGACUUAAGAAAAAAGUGAGGUUAAAAUGGUAUCCACUACUGCAUCUGCAUGUGCCAGUGUUUGUUCCAUUGUACCGCCGUCCACAGGGCCUUAUGUCUUCUGUGCACAGCGGGACCCUGACUCAUGAUAAGAGCUCCAGAUAUCGCUGCCUAAUACAGGUAACAUUAGGAAUGCCCAAAUUAAUUUACAAGUGAUAGCUAAUCAAUACAUUUAAUGAGGCUUCACUGAAUGGGCAGAGUUGCAAUUCAGAAGUAGAGAAGUCAAGACUUAAAACAGUGCAUGCAUCACUGGCUUAGAAAGAGAAGGAGAGCCUGGGACAAGGAUCACACGCCCUGAGCACCUGGCUGGUGGGCGCUCAAGUGCGUCUCUGUGCCUGCCUCAGGUAUGUCUGUAAGUGCCCUAAAAGACAGGUUGUUUCUUCCACGAGGUUAUAACUGAUUCCAGAUCCAGUGUGAGCUGA